rnacentral:rRNA from 1 species
ACGGCUCAGUAACACGUGGAUAACAUGCCCUAGGGUGGGGGAUAAUCUCGGGAAACUGAGGAUAAUACCCCAUAGGUCUGAUAUGCUGGAAUGCUUUUAGGCCGAAAACUCCGGUGCCUUAGGAUUGGUCUGCGGUCUAUCAGGCAGUAGUGGGUGUAACGGACCCACUAGCCCGUGACGGAUAUGGGCCUUGAGAGAGGGUGCCCAGAGAUGGACUCUGAGACAUGAGUCCAGGCCCUACGGGGCGCAGCAGUCGCGAAAACUUCGCAAUGGGGGAAACCCCGACGAGGGAAUUCCAAGUGCUAGCACUUUGUGUUAGCUGUUCUUCUGUCUAAAAAACAGGAGAAGUAAGGGGCGGGUAAGACGGGUGCCAGCCGCCGCGGUAAUACCCGCGCCCCGAGUGGUGGUCGAUAUUAUUGAGCCUAAAACGUCCGUAGCCGGUCUUCUAAAUCCUUGGGUAAAUCGGGCAGCUUAACUGUCCGAAUUCCGGGGAGACUGGGAGACUUGGGACCGGGAGAGGUCAGAGGUACUUCUGGGGUAGGGGUAAAAUCCUGUAAUCCUGGAAGGACCACCGGUGGCGAAGGCGUCUGACUAGAACGGAUCCGACGGUGAGGGACGAAGCCCUGGGGCGCAAACGGGAUUAGAUACCCCGGUAGUCCAGGGUGUAAACGCUGCGGGCUUGGUGUUGGGGGUCCUUAGUGGGCGCCCAGUGCCGGAGAGAAGUUGUUAAGCCUGCUGCUUGGGGAGUAUGUCCGCAAGGAUGAAACUUAAAGGAAUUGGCGGGGGAGCAC